rnacentral:rRNA from 1 species
AAUAGAUACCCGGGUAGUCCACGCCGUAAACGAUGAGUGCUAAGUGUUAGGGGGUUUCCGCCCCUUAGUGCUGCAGCUAACGCAUUAAGCACUCCGCCUGGGGAGUACGGUCGCAAGACUGAAACUCAAAGGAAUUGACGGGGGCCCGCACAAGCGGUGGAGCAUGUGGUUUAAUUCGAAGCAACGCGAAGAACCUUACCAGGUCUUGACAUCCCAUUGACCACUAUGGAGACAUAGUUUUCCCUUCGGGGACAACGGUGACAGGUGGUGCAUGGUUGUCGUCAGCUCGUGUCGUGAGAUGUUGGGUUAAGUCCCGCAACGAGCGCAACCCUUGUUCUUAGUUGCCAUCAUUUAGUUGGGCACUCUAAGGAGACUGCCGGUGACAAACCGGAGGAAGGUGGGGAUGACGUCAAAUCAUCAUGCCCCUUAUGACCUGGGCUACACACGUGCUACAAUGGACGGUACAAACGGUUGCCAACCCGCGAGGGGGAGCUAAUCCGAUAAAACCGUUCUCAGUUCGGAUUGUAGGCUGCAACUCGCCUACA